CGAAACUAUUGUACUUGACGUUU
rnacentral:miRNA from 1 species